CUCCUCUGCCGACGCCAGCGACCCUCCUCUCUGCCUUAGUUCUACCGCCGGCCGAACCCCGAACCUUGUUUCUUCUUCUUUCCGUGUGCCCUAGCGCCGCCACCCGAGAACCCGCGCCUUCUCUCGAUUGGUGGCAGCGCCGAGACGAAGCCGAGCGCCGGCCACAGGUUCAGCACCAGUCUCCGGUGCCUAGUUCCUCCCUGUGUACUGCCGCUGUGGCUCUUUUGCACAGUGCCGGCCAAUUUCUUCUCUGCCGCCGGCGACUAGAGCCACCGCCGAUCGCUCUGUGCCCUUCUACUUCUCUGCCGCCACUCUAACCGGAGCCGAGACCUUCUCACAGCAGUGCUGCCGGCCGGAAAUCCUCUGUGCCCUAGCUGUGAGCAUUUCUUCCUCCUCAGAGCAGUGGUGAUACGGUAUUGUGACAGAAAGAUCCUUGGUACAACAGAUCGGCGAUAUUAGAGUUGCCUAUUCCGGCAGCCACUUUUUGUAGCAAUCGACAGCACCUUUCCUGCCUGUUGAAUUAAGGACUUUGAUUCGAGACGAGCAUCUCGACGUCCGAGUUGGACCAUUUC